rnacentral:rRNA from 2 species
CGUAGGUGACCUGCGGAAGGAU